CCACCUUUGACAUGUACGGAAUCCUUUAGAGAUAGAGGAGUGCUCGAAAGAGAGCCGUAACACAGGUGCUGCAUGGCUGUCGUCAGCUCGUGUCGUGAGAUGUUGGGUUAAGUCCCGCAACGAGCGCAACCCUUGUCAUUAGUUGCUACAUUUAGUUGGGCACUCUAAUGAGACUGCCGGUGACAAACCGGAGGAAGGUGGGGAUGACGUCAAGUCCUCAUGGCCCUUAUAGGUGGGGCUACACACGUCAUACAAUGGAUGGUACAAAGGGUCGCCAACCCGCGAGGGGGAGCCAAUCCCAUAAAGCCAUUCGUAGUCCGGAUCGUAGUCUGCAACUCGACUACGUGAAGUCGGAAUCGCUAGUAAUCGUGGAUCAGAAUGUCACGGUGAAUACGUUCC
rnacentral:rRNA from 1 species